UGAAAACUGAUCUGAUAUUUCUAAAUUUCUUAGAAUGUAUUGACAGUGUUCUUUUUAACAGGGCCUCUUGUAGCUGUACUGUGACAACUGUUAACUUUGAAAUAUAGUGUCAUAAUAAACUAUGAACAAGAUCUGUAUGCAACCUUUUAAGAGAUGGAGUCUGUAAGUGACGCUGUGUAGAUGGGUGGGAUAGCUUAGCUGCUGUUUGUGAUGUGGAAAAGCGCAAGCUGCAAGGACAGUGAUUAACCAGUUUUAAAGAACCUAGGAUGUACUUCUUUGAUCCAUACUUUGCUAAGGAGACUCAUAAGACAGGACUUCAGCAGCCUAUUGAGUAUGGAGAAGUCAGCCUAAUUACAGAAUGACGAGGCAGCAAGAGCAACAGCUUCAACUCCAGAAAAGUGAAGGCAUAAGAUACUGUGCUGAUAGUGAGCAGCUUUCCAAGGCUAGUUAAAUCUGCUAAUCACAGCUGAAAUAUCGAAGAAAGUCUAGCAAGAGUUCUUCACCUCUUGGAACCUCCUUGAGUGAUAGCUACUUGAGUUGACUCAAAAUCAAUAGGUCUAGCAUUUAGACCUGAAAGGAAGGGCAAUGAGCAUAGGUAAGGUUUGCCUUUAAAAUUUUUCAUGAAUUAAAAAGAGUAGCGGGAGAUUUUUUAACAAGGUAAGAGUAAUUUCUUUAAUUUUCAGGUUGAAUGAAGCUGCUGCUUGACAAAAUGGGGAAUGUCUUGCACAUCCUCUCCAAUUGGAGGUUUCUGAAUGGUAAUCCAACUAUCACCAUAGAAGAAAAGUGGCCUUCAUGUAGAAGAUAAUAUCGCAAGAUUGGAAACAGAAUAAUGUAUUAAAAUACCUGGCAAAGACUUCAAGAGCAAUGGUGCUAAUGUGGUGAAAUCUUAAUACUUGUGGUUAAACAAGUUUAAAAAUAGCAUGAAUAUUACAAACUUCAGUAUAGUCCAUAAUGGAUUGAAAUUUGUUAAAAUACUUCAUUUUUGUAUCAGAAUAAAGUGUAUAUUGUCAAAUGACUUAAACCUG